rnacentral:rRNA from 1 species
AACGAACGCUGGCGGCAGGCUUAACACAUGCAAGUCGAGCGCCCCGCAAGGGGAGCGGCAGACGGGUGAGUAACGCGCGGGAAUCUACCCAUCUCUACGGAAUAACGCAUGGAAACGUGUGCUAAUACCGUAUACGUCCUUCGGGAGAAAGAUUUAUCGGAGAUGGAUGAGCCCGCGUUGGAUUAGCUAGUUGGUGGGGUAAAGGCCUACCAAGGCGACGAUCCAUAGCUGGUCUGAGAGGAUUAUCAGCCACACUGGGACUGGGACACAGCCCAGACUCCUACGGGAGGCAGCAGUGGGGAAGAUUGGACAAUGGGCGAAAGCCUGAUCCAGCCAUGCCGCGUGAGUGAUGAAGGCCCUAGGGUUGUAAAGCUCUUUCACCGGUGAAGAUAAUGACGGUAACCGGAGAAGAAGCCCCGGCUAACUUCGUGCCAGCAGCCGCCGUAAUAC